rnacentral:rRNA from 1 species
UACGGGGGGGGGCAAGCGUUGUUCGGAAUUACUGGGCGUAAAGGGCGCGUAGGCGGCCUGUUAAGUCAGACGUGAAAUCCCUCGGCUCAACCGGGGAACUGCGUCUGAUACUGGCGGGCUUGAAUUCGGGAGAGGGAUGUGGAAUUCCAGGUGUAGCGGUGAAAUGCGUAGAUAUCUGGAGGAACACCGGUGGCGAAGGCGGCAUCCUGGACCGACAUUGACGCUGAGGCGCGAAAGCCAGGGGAGCAAAGCGGG